rnacentral:lncRNA from 10 species
CCGGGAUAGCUGUUACCUCUAGGAAAGAGAACACCAAAGUCUAGCUGUUGGUUCCAGGCCAGCUCAGGGCAACACUGAGGGCUACUGAUAGUACCAGGCCAGCUCCUGGAUGUCAGGCCUACUUUUCUCCUUAGCAGAGAGGGUCUCCUUGCUAUCCUCUGACCAUGCUACCUCACGCCAAUCCCCAAAGCCAGGAAUAGGUGAGUUGUUUGUAGUAAGAGAACUCCCAUUUUCAUCAGUGGAACUGGACAACUACACUGGUCCAAUUCAGGCAAAUGGAUAGAGUUCACAGCACCAAACCAGCAGCCACAGGAAAUUAAUAUAACUGCGAAGGAAAAGAUUUCCCCUGCUCGAGUCUCCCUGCACUCCUACCCAUCUGAGAGAAACAGAACUGUUGAGUAGCUGAUGCAAUUUCAUCCAUAAUAUUGUGGAUUCACCAUUGAUUCAGCAUCUGAUCCUCAGCACUGUAUAUCUAAGAACUCAUUCUCCUUGGUUCAUCAGGCAUGAUCAGAUUAAGGAUUCAUACACACUGACCUAACUCACAGGAGAGAGUUAUAAAUCAGAACACCAAUUUAUUGCCUUGUUCAUGGAAAUAGAAACACUACAUGUGUCAGCUUACUCAGAUCAGCAGCUAAACACUGUUCAGUGUUGAUUGGGAAAUAUAAAGCCAGAAUGAAGGCAGCUGGUUCAUCUUGAUAGCAAAUGUUACCAAAUCUCAUAGUCUGGUGCCCUAAUCUCCAUGGGAUUAGAACAUGUACAUCGACCAGAGAGGUUCUCUUUCUCCUGACUAUGCUGGGACAUUCUGGCAAAUUCUGACUCAUCACUCCCUUUCUAGAAUCCUUAAAGACCAUCAUCACGCUAUUUCAAGAAUAUUCCUUCAGAUGUGUUACAAAGAUUAAAUGUUGAUUUAUGGUAUCUCUAAAGAUUUGGAUUGUAGUCUCAUCAGAAAUAUUUAUUUAUAAGCCAUCUCUUCAUUCACUCGUUGAUUCAUCCAGAAAUGCUAUUCAGUAUUUAUUAAGUGCCAGGCGUUGUGCUAAGAUUUGAGACACAGAGAUAAGAUAAAGGUCCCAUUCUCCAAGACUCUUGUUUUUUUAGUGGAUUAAAAGCUGCUAAUGUAUUCCUUCUGUAGAUAUACAUAAUUUCACCAAUUUCUUGUGACUUCAUGAACCUUAUUUUUGCAAGACAACAUGUCCUAAUUCUUGUCAAAUUUAGGGAUGGUGGUAUUGGGGAGCUACAAACCAGUCAAAUCAAUUCAAUGAAAAAUCCUAUUAUUUGAACAAUUUUAAUCACAUCUGAUUUUGACUAUUUUAUCUAAGUGUUAACAUUUCACUAGUUGAGUGUUACAAUGAGCCUAGCAUUUAAACAGUCUUAGUUAUGUUAACAUUCUUAAAAACAGAGAAGUGGCAGCCAGGCACGGUGGCUCAUGCCUGUAAUCCCAGCACUUUGGGAGGCCGAGGCGGGCGGACGCCUGAGGUCAGGAGUUCAAGACCAGCCUGACCAACACGGAGAAACCUCGUCUCUACUAAAAAUACAAAAUUA